AGAGUUUGAUCAUGGCUCAGGAUGAACGCUGGCGGCGUGCCUAACACAUGCAAGUCGAGCGAUUUCUUCGGAGAGAGCGGCGGACGGGUGAGUAACGCGUGGGUAACCUGCCCUGUACACACGGAUAACAUACCGAAAGGUAUGCUAAUACGGGAUAAUAUAUGAAAGUCGCAUGGCUUUUGUAUCAAAGCUUUUGCGGUACAGGAUGGACCCGCGUCUGAUUAACUAGUUGGUGAGGUAAUGGUUCACCAAGGCAACGAUCAGUAGCCGACCUGAGAGGGUGAUCGGCCACACUGGAACUGAGACACGGUCCAGACUCCUACGGGAGGCAGCAGUGGGGAAUAUUGCACAAUGGGCGAAAGCCUGAUGCAGCAACGCCGCGUGAGCGAUGAAGGCCUUCGGGUCGUAAAGCUCUGUCCUCAAGGAAGAUAAUGACGGUACUUGAGGAGGAAGCCCCGGCUAACUACGUGCCAGCAGCCGCGGUAAUACGUAGGGGGCUAGCGUUAUCCGGAAUUACUGGGCGUAAAGGGUGCGUAGGUGGUCUUUUAAGUCAGAAGUGAAAGGCUACGGCUCAACCGUAGUAAGCUUUUGAAGCUAAAGAACUUGAGUGCAGGAGAGGAGAGUAGAAUUCCUAGUGUAGCGGUGAAAUGCGUAGAUAUUAGGAGGAAUACCAGUAGCGAAGGCGGCUCUCUGGACUGUAACUGACACUGAGGCACGAAAGCGUGGGGAGCAAACAGGAUUAGAUACCCUGGUAGUCCACGCCGUAACGAUGAGUACUAGGUGUCGGGGGUUACCCCCCUCGGUGCCGCAGCUAACGCAUUAAGUACUCCGCCUGGGAAGUACGCUCGCAAGAGUGAAACUCAAAUGAAUUUGACGG
rnacentral:rRNA from 1 species